rnacentral:lncRNA from 1 species
UCUUCCCUCUCUUUCUUCUCUAAGUUUGCAUCCCCACUAAAGUUUUACUUUCUCUUUAGUUUCUCUCUCUAAAAAUUUUAUUUUUCCUAUCUAGAAUUAUUUCUUUAUAUAUAAAAUUUAUCUCUUUAUGAUUGAUUGAGUAAUGAUAUUUUUUUAAUGAUUUUGAUCGAGCUUAGUGAAAGAUCCUGAUUCAUAGUUGUUGG